rnacentral:rRNA from 1 species
UACAUGCAAGUCGAACGCACCUUCGGGUGAGUGGCGGACGGGUGAGUAACGCGUGGGAAUCUGCCCUUAGGAGGGGGAUAACGGCUGGAAACGGCCGCUAAUACCCCAUAUGCCGAGAGGUGAAACGAAUUUCGCCUGAGGAUGAGCCCGCGUCUGAUUAGCUAGUUGGUGGGGUAAGAGCCCACCAAGGCGACGAUCAGUAGCUGGUCUGAGAGGAUGAUCAGCCACACUGGGACUGAGACACGGCCCAGACUCCUACGGGAGGCAGCAGUGGGGAAUUUUCCGCAAUGGGCGAAAGCCUGACGGAGCAACGCCGCGUGAGGGAUGAAGGCCUCUGGGCUGUAAACCUCUUUUCUCAAGGAAGAAGACAUGACGGUACUUGAGGAAUAAGCCACGGCUAAUUCCGUGCCAGCAGCCGCGGUAAUACGGGAGUGGCAAGCGUUAUCCGGAAUUAUUGGGCGUAAAGCGUCCGCAGGCGGCUCUGUAAGUCUGUUGUUAAAGCGUGGAGCUCAACUCCAUUUCAGCAAUGGAAACUACAGGGCUUGAGUGUGGUAGGGGCAGAGGGAAUUCCCGGUGUAGCGGUGAAAUGCGUAGAUAUCGGGAAGAACACCAGUGGCGAAGGCGCUCUGCUGGGCCAUAACUGACGCUCAUGGACGAAAGCCAGGGGAGCGAAAGGGAUUAGAUACCCCUGUAGUCCUGGCCGUAAACGAUGAACACUAGGUGUCGGGGGAAUCGACCCCCUCGGUGUCGUAGCCAACGCGUUAAGUGUUCCGCCUGGGGAGUACGCACGCAAGUGUGAAACUCAAAGGAAUUGACGGGGGCCCGCACAAGCGGUGGAGUAUGUGGUUUAAUUCGAUGCAACGCGAAGAACCUUACCAGGGUUUGACAUCCUGCGAAUCCCUUGGAAACUUGGGAGUGCCUUCGGGAGCGCAGAGACAGGUGGUGCAUGGCUGUCGUCAGCUCGUGUCGUGAGAUGUUGGGUUAAGUCCCGCAACGAGCGCAACCCACGUCUUUAGUUGCCAGCAUUCAGUUGGGCACUCUAGAGAGACCGCCGGUGAUAAACCGGAGGAAGGUGUGGAUGACGUCAAGUCAUCAUGCCCCUUACAUCCUGGGCUACACACGUACUACAAUGCUACGGACAGAGGGCAGCAAGCUCGCGAGAGUUAGCAAAUCCCAUAAACCGUGGCUCAGUUCAGAUCGUAGGCUGCAACUCGCCUACGUGAAGGAGGAAUCGCUAGUAAUCGCAGGUCAGCAUACUGCGGUGAAUACGUUCCCGGGCCUUGUACACACCGCCCGUCACACCAUGGAAGUUGGCCAUGCCCGAAGUCG